rnacentral:rRNA from 1 species
UUAUAAAAAUAAGUUUGAUCCUGGCUUAGAAUUAACGCUAAAGACAUACAUAUAAAAUGCUUGCUAAUUAAACUUAUAAUAUAAAUAAUAAGUUAGUGUACAGGUGAGUAAUAUAUAUAAUUAUAAAGAUUAAAUUAUACUUGAAUUUUAAAUUCAAAAUAAAUUUUUUAUAAAUAAAUUACAUAAAGAUAUUUGUUUAAUUUUAAUUAUAUACUCUAUUAACUAUUUAAUAUAUAAAAAUAUAUAAAGUCAAAAUAGAUAGCUGGCCUGAGAGGGUGUUCAGCCACAUUGGACCUGGAACAAUGUCCAAACUUUUAAGAAAGUUAGCGGCAGGGAAUUUUUUGCAAUUAGCGAAAGCUAGACAAAGUAAUGUCUUGUGAAGGGAGAUUAAAUCGUAAACUUCUGUAAAUCUAAAAUAUAAUAAAUGAAAUAUAGAUUAAAAUAUCGGCUAACUCUGUGCCAGCAGCCGCGGUAAUACAGAGGAUAUGAGCGUUAUUCGAAAUUAUUGGGCAUAAAGCAUUAAUAGGUUAUUUUAUAAAGUAUAAAUAAAAUUUAAAAGCUUAACUUUUAAAAUUUUAUACUAUAUAUAAAAUUAAAGAUUAUUAUUUAAGUUUAAAGAAUUUUUUGAGUAAUAGUGAAAUAUUUGGAUACAAAAAAGAAUACCAUUAAUGAAAAUAUUAAACUAAUAUAAUCUAAUACUAAAUAAUGAAAGCUAAGGGAGCAAAUGGGAUUAGAUACCCCAGUAGUCUUAGUUGUAAAUUAUGAAUAUUAAAUGUAAAAGUAUUAUUUAAAUAUUUUUAUAUUAAAGUAAAUACGUUAAAUAUUCCGCCUGAGUAGUACAUUCGUAAGAAUUAAAUUCAAAGGAACUGACGGGAACUCAUAUAAGCAGUGGGUCACGUAACUUAAUUCGAUGAAGACCGUAAUACCUUACCAAAAUUUAACACAUUUAAAAUGAAUAUAUUAAAAUAUAUUUAUAAAUAAACUUAGGUGGUGCAUGGUUGUCGUCAGCUAGUGCUUUGAGGUGUCAAAUUAAGUUUUGUAACUAGCGAAACCCUUUUUAUUGUUUUUUUAUACUUUUAUAAAGAAUUAUAUUUUAUAAUAUAAAAGGAGGAAAAGGAUCAAGUCAAAUCAUUAUGCCCCUUAUAUUUUGGGCAGAUUACGUGACACAAUAAAUAAAAACAAUAUGAUAAUUAAUAAUAAAAUUAAACUAGAAAUAGAAUUUAAUUAUCAAUAAAAUUAUUUUCAGUACGGAUUAUUGAUUGAAAAGUCAAUAUUAUUAAUAAGAAGGAACUGCUAGUAAUCGUUAGUAAGCUAAAUAACGGUGAAUAAAUAAUUGAGUUUUGUACACACCGCCCGUCGUAUCCGUAAAGAUAUAUAGUUAUAAAUUAUAUAAUAUAUAAUGAAAUAUUAAUAUAUUAAUGUGGAUGAAGUCGUAACAAGGUAGCCGUACUGGAAAGUGCGGCUAGAUAUAAAA